CACGUAGGGACCAAGCGUUGUCCGGAUUUAUUGGGCGUAAAGCGCUCGUAGGCGGUUCGGUAAGUCGGGUGUGAACCUCCAGGCUACAACCUGGUGACGCCACCCGAUACUGCCGUGACUUGAGUUCGGUAGGGGAGCGGGGAAGUUCCUGGUGUGAGCGGUGAAAUGCGCAGAUAUCAGGAGGAACACCGGUGGCGAAGGCGCCGCUCUGGGCCGAAACUGACGCUGAGGAGCGAAAGCGUGGGGAGCGAACAG
rnacentral:rRNA from 1 species